rnacentral:rRNA from 1 species
GAUGAACGCUGGCGGCGUGCUUAACACAUGCAAGUCGAACGAAGCGCUUAAACGGAUUUCUUCGGAAUGAAGUUUUUGCGACUGAGUGGCGGACGGGUGAGUAACGCGUGGGUAACCUGCCUCAUACAGGGGGAUAACAGUUAGAAAUGACUGCUAAUACCGCAUAAGCCCACGACCCGGCAUCGGGUUGAGGGAAAAGGAGCAAUCCGCUUUGAGAUGGCCUCGCGUCCGAUUAGCUAGUUGGUGAGGUAACGGCCCACCAAGGCAACGAUCGGUAGCCGGACUGAGAGGUUGAACGGCCACAUUGGGACUGAGACACGGCCCAG